rnacentral:rRNA from 3 species
UUGACGGAAGGGCACCACCAGGGGUGGAGCCUGCGGCUUAAUUUGACUCAACACGGGGAAACUCACCAGGUCCAGACACGAUGAGGAUUGACAGAUUGAGAGCUCUUUCUUGAUUUCGUGGGUGGUGGUGCAUGGCCGUUCUUAGUUGGUGGAGUGAUUUGUCUGCUUAAUUGCGAUAACGAACGAGACCUUAACCUGCUAAAUAGCCCGUAUUGCUUUGGCAGUACGCCGGCUUCUUAGAGGGACUAUCGGCUCAAGCCGAUGGAAGUUUGAGGCAAUAAC